GUGGCGCACGGGUGCGUAACGCGUGGGAAUCUGCCCCUUGGUUCGGAAUAACAGUUGGAAACGACUGCUAAUACCGGAUGAUGACGUAAGUCCAAAGAUUUAUCGCCGAGGGAUGAGCCCGCGUAGGAUUAGGUAGUUGGUGUGGUAAAGGCGCACCAAGCCGACGAUCCUUAGCUGGUCUGAGAGGAUGAUCAGCCACACUGGGACUGAGACACGGCCCAGACUCCUACGGGAGGCAGCAGUGGGGAAUAUUGGACAAUGGGCGAAAGCCUGAUCCAGCAAUGCCGCGUGAGUGAUGAAGGCCUUAGGGUUGUAAAGCUCUUUUACCCGGGAUGAUAAUGACAGUACCGGGAGAAUAAGCUCCGGCUAACUCCGUGCCAGCAGCCGCGGUAAUACGGAGGGAGCUAGCGUUAUUCGGAAUUACUGGGCGUAAAGCGCACGUAGGCGGCUUUGUAAGUAAGAGGUGAAAGC
rnacentral:rRNA from 1 species